AAAUUUCUUCGAACUCCAAAGGAUACGAUCGAUAACGAGUCUCAAGGUGUAUACGAGAUACCAUGUUCCGCAUGUCCUAGAACAUACAUAGGACAAACCAACAGACGUAUAAUAACAGAGUAUAUGAGCACCAACUCGCAAUACGCCAGGGAGAUCCAACAUCUGCCCUAUUCAAACACUACUCUGAAACAGGACAUAACGUUGAUUUUGAGGGAUGUAAGACCAUCUCUGCAGAGAGAACUCUCACAUGUAGGAUAAUCCGUGAAGCACUCGAGAUCGAAAAACGACCCAAUUGCCUCAACAAACGGGAUGAUGGUCAAAGAUUGCCCAACACUUGGAAACCUUUUAUUUCCCGUCUCAUGGCAACACAUCGAUCGAUAACUCAGCCCCCAUCAACAACCCGAUCGACAGUUCAGCCUCAUACCACCCGUACCAGGCUCUCAGUUGCCACUCGUUCGAUAACAACCCGAUGGAUGACUCGAAGUCACGUGACAACAACACCACCGGUUCCUGCACAAUCGAUAACAACUCGAUCGACAACAAACCGAUCGACAACAACUCGAUCAAUAACAACUCGAUCGAUAACAACUCGAUCAAUGACUGGAGGCUGCCUAACAACUACGCAACCGGCUCCUGCGCAACCUCCAUCACGUGGGUCACCCCCUUCUACUAUAAAUACUGGACCUCUCGUGGUUAACAUUCAGUUGCCUCCACAGAUUACGGAUAACAUAGAUAGAACACUCGCCUUCCCCCACCCGAAAUUAAGUUUUAGUUCUUGGCCCACGCGCUUGGAACCGCUGCAAGUCAUUUGUUUACGUUUGGUUUGCUCUUGCAAUAUUAUUUUAACCUAGAAGCUGAAAAUGGACGUUUGUCAUUGAAGUUGUUCAAGUAAGUACAAUUUAGUACGCCGUAGAAAUUCAUUUGAAGAAAAAAAUAUAUACUUCCAAAUUUCGAGAAUGCCUAAAAUAAAGAAAUGUUGUGUACAAGGAUGUACCGAUAAGACAAGUACAAGACAUCGUUUCCCUAUGAGUGAUUUGGAUUUAUUCGAUAACUGGCUCCAAAUUAUCCAACCAAUAAAUUGGCAACAAUUGAGUAGGCAUCGAAUUUAUGAAGGUUAUUUUGUGUGCCAUUCACAUUUUGAUAAAAAAUAUCAUUUUCCAGGAAGCCGUCGUGGUCUCACUUGUAAUGCCAUACCUACAAUCGGUAUUCCAGGUAAUUUUAUCGAAUUUUUCAAUUUUAUUCAUAUUUAAAUCCCUUAAAUUUUUUUUUUCAUUUGUACUGCCCAAUGUCAAAAUGGAGCUGUAACUUGUAGUUCAUUCUGAUUUAAAUGAUGCUUAGGAUUAGACAUUAGAUUCAUUUUAGUAAAAGUCGUAGGAAGGAAAGUAUCACUUUCCAGGAAACCAUCAUUGUCUUAAAUGUAAUGGCAUACGUACAACAGUAUUCCAGGUAAUUUUAUCGAAUUACUCAAUUUUAGUCAUAUUUAAACCCCUUAAAUUUUUGUUCCAUGUGUACUGUCCAAUGGAGCUGUAGUAUAUUCUGGUUUAAACGAUACUAACAAUUAGGCAUGGGGUGAGUUGCAAAAAUGAAGAACUACUUGUAUGAUGAUUUAUUCUUCAAAUUUCUACUUGACUUAUUAAUCAAGAUCCAUCUUUAUUUUAAAAUGAUACUGAAACUAUUUUUUUUUUCUUUUCAGAUAUUAAAUACAAAUGCAGUUUACCUUCUGAAGCAGCAGACACUGCCGAAUUAAUUUUAUUUCUGGAUAAAUUAUUCGAUUCUCUCAAUGUAUCGAAGAUUCGAAAUACACAGGGUAAGUUUUUGAAGGAACCAAUAACCACAAAAUCGGAACAUGAAAUAUUUUGGAAAAAAUCAAUAAAAAUUUUUGAAAACAUGUAUUUCUAUGAUGAAAAAAAACAAAAAAAUGUGGUGGUACCUACCAUAAAAAAUUUUAUUUGGACUUUAAAAGCUUUCGUUUACCUUAAGAGGAGGUUGUUAACUGAAAAAAAAUUCAAGUCUAUCUUGACUGGUGCUUUCAAUCAAGAUUGCCUUGAAAAUUUUUUCAGUUAUAUCCGAGGGCAUGGUGUAAGGAACACUAAUCCAAAUAUUGGCCAGUUUAUGUCCUCUUUCAAAUGCCUUACUUUGAAUAACUUCAUGUCCUCCCAUUCUGUAGGUUCCAACUGUGAAGAGGAUUUAACAUCACAUUGUUUGGAUAAUCUAAAAUCAUUUGUUUUAU